rnacentral:rRNA from 1 species
AGAAUCAACGCUGGCGGCGUGCCUAACACAUGCAAGUCGAACGAGAAAGUGGAGCAAUCCAUGAGUACAGUGGCGUACGGGUGAGUAACACGUGACUAACCUACCCUCGAGUGGGGAAUAACCUCGGGAAACCGGGGCUAAUACCGCAUAACAUCUUCGGAUCAAAUGCGUAAGCAGCUUGAGGAGGGGGUCGCGGCCGAUUAGCUAGUUGGCGGGGUAAUGGCCCACCAAGGCAAUGAUCGGUAGCCGGCCUGAGAGGGCGCACGGCCACACUGGAACUGAAACACGGUCCAGACUCCUACGGGAGGCAGCAGUGGGGAAUUUUGCGCAAUGGGGGAAACCCUGACGCAGCAACGCCGCGUGGAGGAUGAAGCCCCUUGGGGUGUAAACUCCUUUCGAUCGGGACGAUUAUGACGGUACCGGAUGAAGAAGCACCGGCUAACUCUGUCGCCAGCAGCCGC